UAGGACCCUGUCCUCCUAUUUUCAGUUGGUUUGCCGCGAGGACCAGGGUAAUGAUUAAUAGGGAUAGUUGGGGGCAUUAAUAUUUAAUUGUCAGAGGUGAAAUUCUUGGAUUUAUGAAAGAUUAACUUCUGCGAAAGCAUCUGCCAAGGAUGUUUUCAUUAAUCAAGAACGAAAGUUAGGGGAUCGAAGACGAUCAGAUACCGUCGUAGUCUUAACCAUAAACGAUGCCGACCAGCGAUUAGGAGACGUUGAAUACAAAACACCACCAUGCGCAUUGCGGUCGUCUUUGGUGUCGCUCACAAGGCGGCACCGGGGCGGCUUAGCUCGCAUGGCACCG
rnacentral:rRNA from 1 species